CUAUCAUUAACUGAAUCCAUAGGUUAAUGAGGCGAACCGGGGGAACUGAAACAUCUAAGUACCCCGAGGAAAAGAAAUCAACCGAGAUUCCCCCAGUAGCGGCGAGCGAACGGGGAGGAGCCCAGAGCCUGAAUCAGUGUGUGUGUUAGUGGAAGCGUCUGGAAAGGCGCGCGAUACAGGGUGACAGCCCCGUACACAAAAAUGCAUAUGCUGUGAGCUCGAUGAGUAGGGCGGGACACGUGGUAUCCUGUCUGAAUAUGGGGGGACCAUCCUCCAAGGCUAAAUACUCCUGACUGACCGAUAGUGAACCAGUACCGUGAGGGAAAGGCGAAAAGAA
rnacentral:rRNA from 1 species